UACGUAGGGGGCUAGCGUUGUUCGGAUUUAUUGGGCGUAAAGGGCAUGUAGGCGGUUAUGCAAGUGUGGGUUUAAAGGCGCAGGCUCAACCUGUAGCAUGGUCUGCAAACUACAUAACUAGAGUUUGGGAUGGGAGACUGGAAUUCCGCGUGUAGGGGUGAAAUCUGUAGAGAUGCGGAAGAAUACCGGCGGCGAAGGCGAGUCUCUGGCCUAAAACUGACGCUGAGAUGCGAAAGUGUGGGGAGCAAACAGG
rnacentral:rRNA from 1 species